AUGUUGAACUGGCAGCGCUCGACCAUCUCCGAGGCGAAGCUGCGAGCGCUCGUCGACGCAUGGAUGCUCCCGUGCCUGACCGAGGCACGGGAGUGGAUCAAGCCGAUGCUCGAGGACUCCCCACGACCUUCCCAGGGGUACGUGGUUUCCUUCGUCACCUUUCAUGAGCACGGGUUCUCCGUGCCGGCGGGGAGAUUCAUCCGCACCGUGCUCCACGAGUACGGCCUCGAGCUGCAGCACCUCAACCCGAAUGGCAUCCAACACCUGGUGGUGUUUGAGGCGAUGUGCGAGGGAUACCUGUGCAUCGAGGCGCACUGGAAUCUCUUUCGUAACUUCUUCAUGUUUGUCUGCUUGAAGGACGAGCAGAGCCACAGCCCGCCGGCAAUCGGGUGCAUUGGCAUCCGGCUCAAGAGGGGGAAAGCCGAUGGCUACCUCAACGGGCCCCUAACGAGCUCCAACAGCGGGUGGCGCUCAGAGUGGUUCUACCUCAAGAACGAUCCCGAGUGCCCUCUGCCAGUGUUCACCGGGGGUCUUCAAGACACCAUCCCGGCCGUGUGGUCCGAUGGGCCGGAGAAGAAGAAGCAGGCGAAGCUGCUCCAUGGCUACCCCACGGCAGUCACGGCCCUUCAGGCCUGA
rnacentral:rRNA from 1 species